rnacentral:rRNA from 1 species
AGUGGGAUUGGGCGAAGCCUGACCGCAAUGCUGCGCUGCAGGAAGAAGGCCUUCGGGUUGUAAACUGCUUUUGUACGGAACGAAACGGCCUUUUCUAAUAAAGAGGGCUAAUGACGGUACCGUAAGAAUAAGCACCGGCUAACUACGUGCCAGCAGCCGCGGUAAUACGUAGGGUGCGAGCGUUAAUCGGAAUUACUGGGCGUAAAGCGUGCGCAGGCGGUUCUAUAAGACAGAUGUGAAAUCCCCGGGCUCAACCUGGGAAUGGCAUUUGUGACUGUAGAGCUAGAGUACGGUAGAGGGGGAUGGAAUUCCGCGUGUAGCAGUGAAAUGGGGGGAUAUGCGGAGGAACGCCGAUGGCGAAGGCAAUCCCCUGGACCUGUACUGACGCUCAUGCACGAAAG